rnacentral:rRNA from 1 species
GAUGAACGCUGGCGGCGGGCUUAACACAUGCAAGUCGAACGGUGAAGCAGAGCUUGCUCUGUGGAUCAGUGGCGAACGGGUGAGUAACACGUGAGCAACCUGCCCUGGACUCUGGGAUAAGCGCUGGAAACGGCGUCUAAUACUGGAUACGAGACGUGGCCGCAUGGUCAACGUUUGGAAAGAUUUUUUGGUUCAGGAUGGGCUCGCGGCCUAUCAGCUUGUUGGUGAGGUAAUGGCUCACCAAGGCGUCGACGGGUAGCCGGCCUGAGAGGGUGACCGGCCACACUGGGACUGAGACACGGCCCAGACUCCUACGGGAGGCAGCAGUGGGGAAUAUUGCACAAUGGCGAAAGCCUGAUGCAGCAACGCCGCGUGAGGGAUGACGGCCUUCGGGUUGUAAACCUCUUUUAGCAAGGAAGAAGCGAAAGUGACGGUACUUGCAGAAAAAGCGCCGGCUAACUACGUGCCAGCAGCCGCAGUAA